AUUAUCAAGAGAGAUGGAGGGACAGGCCCUGUGAAAUCUCAGCAACAGGCUUUUAAAAGUACUGUGCUAAAUCCUGCAGGCAUCGGCUUGACAGAUAA
rnacentral:ncRNA from 1 species